rnacentral:tRNA from 1 species
GGGGCUAUAGCUCAGCUGGGAGAGCGCUUGCAUGGCAUGCAAGCGCUCUCCCAGCUGAGCUAUAGCCCCA